rnacentral:rRNA from 1 species
AACGAACGCUGGCGGCAUGCUUAACACAUACAAGUCGAACGAGACCUUCGGGUCUAGUGGCGCACGGGUGCGUAACGCCUGGGAACCUGCCCUUAGGUUCGGAAUAAUUCCCCUAAAGGGGAGCUAAUACCGGUUAAUGUCUUCGGACCAAGGAUGUAUCGCCUUUGGGUGGGCCCGCGUUGGAUUAGCUAGUUGGUAGGGGAAAAGCAUGUCAACGAGACGAUGCAUAGCUGGUCUGAGAAGAUGAACAACCGGGGUGGGACUAAGACACGGCCCAGAACGCGACGGAAGAGAGGGGUGGAGAAUAUUGGAAAGUGAACGAUAAUGUGAUCCAGCAGUGCAGGGUGAGGGGUGAAGGGGUUAGUGUUGUAAAGCUCUUUUAAGCGGGGUGUUAAUGACAGUACCGGGUGAAGAAGCUCCGGCUAACUACGUG